AGCCGUCAAAGAAAAUUCACUCUCAAAACUGUUUUGGGGAUUUCUUCUGUUCGUAGUCAACUGGGUGGAUCACGUAGAGGUCGGAGUCUCGAUAGAUUGCGGCUUAGUUCGACUGUAGAUCAGACUACACGUUGUUGAGAAGUUGCUGUCUACUCAGAACAGCAUUAGGUAAUUUCGUAACCCUUUUCACCCCGAUUCGUUCCUCACACAUGGAUUCGUGGUUAGGGUUGCCAAUUAUUAAAUUUUUCCGCUGCGCUGUAGGGGUGCCAGGGAUCCAACACCAACUCCCUUGAAUCUCGUAACAAUCCACUCAUUCACCCAUUACGCCAAAAUUUUCCUACCUCCAUCUACCCAAUCAUUGUAAUUCCCUCCAUACUCUGCAUAUUAAAAACAUGAAAUUCAUACAUAACAUUCCAAAUACUAACAUAUUAAGGAGUGUGCCACAUUUUAACACGUCAAUACACCAACACAAUGUACAUUUAGAGAGCAUUCAAGAAAACAUGCAUUUAUGUCCACAAUCUUAUGCAUGCAUAGUUUGCUCAAUCAUCGAAAUCAUUUAUAACCAUAAAUUUCAUAUUAACUCAAAACAAACACUCAAUCAAAACAUUUUAGUAGCAUAGCAACAAACAAUACCUAAGGAAAAGUACAAAAACUUACCUUCCUUCCUUUGUCCUCUCAAGCUUAGCUUCUCCAAAUGCAAUAGCCUUCUUUGUCUAACCAGCUAAGCAUGUGGUAGCUGUCGUUAUGACCACCGAAUUCAAUCCACUAUUCACUAAUAUUAACUGGUAAUAUAAAGUAGGUAGGGAAUCG
rnacentral:lncRNA from 1 species